AACAAUGAUCUAGCUACUGACAGCGGAGGUUCUUCUCCAGUUAAUGAGGAACCAGACCUGCAAACAAAGAUCAAAUCACUGGAAAGUAGACUUGCCGAGGUUCUGGAGGAAAAUAGCAUGUAUAGGACACAGCUGAAGAGUCCCAUGCCAGAGGGGCAAUCUGGGAGCAAGGACGGCGAGGAGAAUAAUGAUGAUAAAAUAGCACAACUGGAGUCAGAACUAAAGGACAUGCAGGACCGCUUACUCAACGUAAGCAUGCAGUAUGCGGAAGUAGAGGCUCAGCGGGAGGAAUUAGUGAUGGAGCUUAAAAACGCAAAUGCAAAGAAAGGGCGGUGGUUCUAGCAAUUAGUGACAGAGCUCAAAACCUACUGGGUGCCAUAGUUAUGAGGGCUACAGGUCCCAGCACAGUGAAGGAAGCCAUUUGUUUUCGGAAUCAAGGGCAGGAGCUCUGUCAUUCAUAUCAAGAAAACACACCGUCCACAAAAGGGAAAAGAAACAUAUCCUGGAAGAAUGUUGUAAAAAAUGGCAGAGGCGUCCAGAUCCUUGGGGCUGCCAUCAUGUUAACUAGGCAAAUGCACCAAGAACUAAGGCUCUCCAAUCCGAGACACAAAUGGAACGACGACUAUUCUCAGAACCUGGGAUUCCCUGAUACAUAUCGGACACGUUCUGAACUUUCGACACUAUGUGACUGUAUGGGUUAGAGUGAUAACUCAUGUUCAUAUGACCACACGGAUCACCCUGCCUUUUACAUCACAGACAACAUAGCUGUUGAUUGAUGUAGCUCCUCCUGUGGACUGUGCCUGAAAAACGGAUUAGAUAGAUGGUAUACAGUAGUUCAUCUCUCUCUUCAAAGAACUUGUAGGUGACUCUUCGUUGACCUAUACAUAUGAUUCGUAUUUGUCUAUGUAAUCCCUUCACGUGCCCAGAGUCCACGUUCUUUUU